rnacentral:rRNA from 1 species
CCUACGGGUGGCAGCAGUGAGGAAUAUUGGUCAAUGGGCUUACGCCUGAACCAGCCAAGUCGCGUGAGGGAAGACUGCCCUAUGGGUUGUAAACCUCUUUUGUCAGGGAGCAACGCCGGCUACGUGUAGCCGGACUGAGAGUACCUGAAGAAAAAGCAUCGGCUAACUCCGUGCCAGCAGCCGCGGUAAUACGGAGGAUGCGAGCGUUAUCCGGCUUUAUUGGGUUUAAAGGGUGCGUAGGCGGAAUGCCAAGUCAGCGGUAAAAUCGCGGGGCUCAACCUCGCUCCGCCGUUGAAACUGGCGGUCUUGAGUGGGCGAGAAGUAUGCGGAAUGCGUGGCGUAGCGGUGAAAUGCAUAGAUAGCACGCAGAACGCCGAUUGCGAAGGCAGCAUACCGGCGCCCAACUGACGCUGAAGCACGAAAGCGUGGGUAUCGAACAGGAUUAGAUACCCCUGUAGUC